rnacentral:rRNA from 1 species
AUGUCUCGGCGCAUGGUACGCCCGGGCCUCGCCGAGUCGGCGGAGGCCAUCCACCUGACGUCGUGGGAUCUCCGGAGCAUCGCCGUGGAGUACAUUCAGAAGGGCAUCCUCCUGCCAAGCCUCCCGGGCGGACAGGGACGCCACGACGUCGACGUCGAACGUCUGGCUUCUUCCUUCGCACGCGCCCUGGACCGCUUCUACCCCUAUGCCGGGCGCCUCACCGUGGCGCCGGCUAGAGAGGGCAGGGCGUCGCCUGAGAGCCGGCGAGGCCGCGAGGGCGCCGAGUUCGUCCACGCCGUGGCGCCCGGCGUCGCCGUCGCGGACGUCACUGUCUCGCUCCUUAUUCCGCGGGUGGUCUGGUCCUUCUUCCCGCUCAACGGGAUGCUCGGCGCAGACGCCAUUGCCGACUCGCACCCGGUCCUCGCCGCGCAGGUAACCGAGCUCGCCGACGGCGUCUUCAUCGCCAUGUCGAUGAACCACAGCGUCGCCGACGGGACGACCUUCUGGCAGUUUUUCAACACCUGGUCCGAGCUAACCCGCCUCGGCCUGGGUGCCGUGAUGUCCACGCCGUUGCCCGUGUUCGACAAGUGGUUCUUCGACGGCUGCACCAUCCCCAUCCCUCUACCCUUCGGCAAGCUGGAGGACAUCGUCGGCCGGUCUAGAUCUGUUCCGCCGGUGCAGGAAUGCUUCCUCCAUUUUUCGGCGGCGACCUUGAAGAAGCUCAAGGCAACGGCGAACGGCGAGAUCUCCAGCACCACCACCAUCUCCUCGCUGCAAGCCCUGCUCGCGCACCUGUGGCGCGCCGUGUGCCGCGCCCGGCGGCUCGCGCCGGAGCAGGAGACGGCGUACAUCGUCUACGUUGGAUGUCGGGGCCGCGUUGGCGGCAUACCAGCGUCUUACGCGGGCAACGCGCUGGCGCACGUCACCGCGAAAUCAUCCGCCGGCGAGAUCAUGGGCAACGGCCUGGGCUGGGCGGCAUGGCAGCUGAACCGGGCCGUGGCGUCGUUUGACGAGGCGAGCGCGAGGGACAAGCUCGCGUCAUGGCCCCAGGAGCAGGAGCCCAGCUUCGCGCACCUGCCCGAGCUCGUGGUUUCCGCUCCGACGACGUUGUUGACGGGGAGCUCGCCGCGGUUCGACGUGUACGGGAACGACUUCGGGUGGGGCGCGCCGCUGGCCGUCCGGAGCGGCGCGGGGAACAAGGUGGACGGGAAGGCGACGGUGUACGAGGGGCGAGGCCGCGGAGGGAGCAUGGCGCUGGAGGUGUGCCUCGCUCCCGAGGGGCUCGCCAGGCUCGUCGCCGACGAGGAGUUCAUGGCCGCAGUGGGCGUAACCAGUAGCACUGAUGCAUAA